GGUCUCCCCAGGACGGGUUUGCUAGAUGGGCUUUUCAGGGCUGGGUACACCCAUGCAGAUGCAUGAGUCCUGGCUGUGCUGUUAGGUAGGCAGUCCCUGGUGGUGAGGUACGCUGAGAGAGAUGGAGCCCGGUGUGGGAGUCCCCCGUGGGGAGGUGCACUGAGAGAUGGAGCCUAGUGUGGGAGUCCCCCGUGGGGAGGUGCACUGAGAGAUGGAGCCUAGUGUGGGAGUCCCCUGUGGGGAGGUACAGUGAGAGAGAUGGAGCCCAGUGUGGGAGUCCCCUGUGGGGAGGUGCACUGAGAGAGAUGGAGCCCAGUGUGGGAUUACCCCGUGGGGAGGUGCACUGAGAGAGAUGGAGCCUGGUGUGGGAAUCCCCCGUGGGGGGGUGCACUGAGAGAUGGAGCCCGGUGUGGGAGUCCCCCUGGGGAGCUACAUUGAGAAAGAUGGGCCUGGUGUGGGAGUCCCAUGGCAGACACACUGAGAGAGAGAUGGUGACCCCUGUGCAUGGACUGGAGGCUGGAAGGGCAGGAGCUCUAGCUGUUAGAUUCUACCCAGCCGUCUUAGAACAGGAUCACACAAGUUCAAUUUGACCAGACGGCAGGACAGGAAGCAGAGGACUGAUUGCUCUAGGUUCUGAGUACACAAUUAUUAUUUCACAGUAUUUUCCAAAUAAAGUAUACUUUUAUUUUGAAAGAUGCUAAUUUUGAUACUUGCAGAGUGAGAGCAACCUUGCCAUGUGAAAUGCUAAUUUCUGUCAUGAGUUAACUCCCCAUUCCAUGUUAGACUUCUCCAGGUUGGAGAUGAGAGUCACAGACCUUGAAGGGGGCCCAUGGUUUCCCUUUGCUGGUUGAAAGCUGAUGUGAAGUGAGAUUAUUGUAUAACCACUUCAUUUAAAAAAACCUGUAUGCCAGGCUUGCUUUACCCUAAAAAUAAUCUUAUGUCAGUUCUAGCACCACAUGAUACUGUUAUCAGAGACAGCUAUUACUUUUUCUAAGUAGUAGCUUAAAAAUAUCAAUGAGCUGUUUUUUUUUAAUGAAGACUUUAAAAAAUGUUUAAAUGGGAGGCUAUUUAUGAAAUAUUGAAGAUUCAGUGUCCUUUGCUGAUAGAGGUCAUUGAAGAUUGUUGGCCAUACUUUUGCUAGUCUAUUUCAAUUCAGAUUAAUUUGAAAUGUUCCUGUUUUUGAUGAAUUCAAGUGUCUGUGAUCUUUUAUGUAACGUAAUUUGUGCCAAAACCUUUAGUUUUCCCAUUAAACUAAUGUAGCUUUAGUCAGAAUACAUUGCCUCAUAGCUGAUGCCUUGUUUUAAUGUCAUUGAUAUUUCGCCUCUCUCCCUCCUCAUUCCUGAGGGUUUUUCUUGGCUUUGGGGAAAGAAAGGCAGUUAGAACAUCAGGGCAGUUCCCAGUGGGCUUUGGUCCCGUCUGCCAUCUUCUGGCCAUGGUGUGUAGGAGGUUUGAGUCAGCCACGGAGUGGAAAGUUGUGGGCAAUGGCAACAGGCAGACAAGAUCAGUGACUCCUUGAGUCCUAGGGGAGGAUAGUGAGAAUACUUAUUUUAAAGUGUCUUUUUGUUUUUAUCAAAACCGUGGUUUUUAGUUAUUAAAAAUGACAUAUGUGUUUU